rnacentral:rRNA from 1 species
AUUGAACGCUGGCGGCAGGCCUAACACAUGCAAGUCGAACGAGUGGCGGACGGGUGAGUAAUGUAUGGGACCCUGCCUGAUGGAGGGGGAUACCUACUGGAAACGGUAGCUAAUACCGCUUACCAUCAGCUUUUCCCAGAUGGGAUUAGCUAGUUGGUGGGGUAAAGGCUCACUCAGGCGACGAACCCUAGCUGGUCUGAGAGGAUGACCAGCCACACUGGAACUGAGACACGGUCCAGACUCCUACGGGAGGCAGCAGUGGGGAAUAUUGCACAAGGGGCGCAAGCCUGAUGCAGCCAUGCCGCGUGUAUGAAGAAGGCCUUCGGGUUGUAAAGUACUUUCAGCGGGGAGGCGUUACCCGCAGAGGAAGCACCGGCUAACUCCGUGCCAGCAGCCGCGGUAAUAC